UCCCCUUCCUUCCCCAUCCUCGCGCCGCCACCCCUCUCCCCUUUCUCUUUUUCUCUGUGAACGAAAGGAAGAGGAAAACCCAAGCUUCUGCCACCACCGUGCUCGCCAUGGCGCCGCCACUUCCGGCCGCCCCUCAUCGUUCUGAGAGCACCACGAGAACCGCCUCUUCUCCCUGAUCAUCCUCGUGCAAGGAAUCGAGCCCGGGCGCCUCGUGCCGUCGCGAAGGUCGCCGAUUCCCCGCGCAGACCGUCGCCUUUCUUCUCCAAUUCCGGCCAGCCUCGUCCUCCUCCGGCCAAACCGAGCACGCCCUCGGCUUCCCCGCGUCCGGGCGCAUCCUCGACUCCAUCUUCCUCGUCCUCUUUCGCUCGCAGCCGUCAAGUCCUUCUCCAACCAGGGCCGUCCACCAUGGCCGCCAUGCUCGAGCUCCGCCUCCAUCUGCUUCUUCUUGUUGGGCGACCCAGAACCAUCACCAUCCAAACAAGCAGCGCAGUGAUCCCGCAGGCACCGAUGGUUUUUCUUCCGUGGAGACCUUCCAAAAGCAUCAACGACAUGUAGCUGAGCUGAUCUGCAUAGAUCUUCUGUAGAUGGGCCUCGGCCCAGAUCCUCCACCUCAGAUCAACGCCCGGUGCGGCCCAACCCAAUCCGACGCCGAAGCUGUUCAGUUCCGGCCCAGCAUAGCGCAGCAUCUGCUUCUUCCCGGAUAUGAUCGCGAAGUGGUGUGGUGAGAUACGCCAAGUUCUCCGGAUGUCCCUCGGCAAGCUUUAACAGGCAAGCAUUUCCCCUAUACUCCUGCCCCUGCAGAAGUCGCUCACCUAUUUUAUUUUGCCUUCUCCCUCAUGCUAUCCUUAAGUUGCGUUCUUGUCACGUGUCCUUUCCACUUAUUACCUCAAGCAGCCCAUAUUGCCACCACCACCUCCUACGGCUAUUGUUUGGUUAUCGAGUCCGCCCUUGCGAGUCGUAGUGCAUGCUAGUGCUUAUAUCUUGUUACCGUUGUUGUUAUCUUAUCGGGUUAUAUGUUGGGAAGAAUCAUGGUUACUUUAGUUGUUGAUAAUUGUUUAGCGGAGGCAUCGGUGGGUCAGCUGCUUGUUUUGUGACGGCUCACUUGUGUUUCCUAAAUAUCUUAGGACUCCGAGUUCUUGUUAUCUGUUCCGAGACUGAGCGCUCUAACCACACGUGGGUAUGCUUACCGGAUCUCCCCUCGACCACUGCCGGAAUCUACAGCCUUGUCCAGUGGCCACAACUAGUUUGGAUGUUUGUUUUGUUUCUCCCGGGCGUGCAAGCUUGUUUCUCUAUGGUCAGAUGAUAUGAUGUUACUCUUGGGGAAGCCAUGUUGCCUUGUAACUCCGUUGUCUCUUGCACGCUCGUAGGAUGCGGUACGUAUUGCUGAAGAUGGAUUCACCCUGCGGGCACUGUUUCCAUCCAAAAGCCGUAGACGCAAACAGCUAAGUCCGCAUCGGAGUUUCGACCGGGCUCCGAAACGGGUUAACUUAGUUAGGUGGCUUCCUGGACAUUGUUGUAGUGAAGGAGAGUGCGUGUCGUGAUAUCCACCUGUCGUAAGUGGGUUGAGCGUGCGUGUGGGAACAUUUGGGCACCCCUGCAGGGUUACAAUCUUAUCGAUAAGCCGUGUCCGCGGUUAUGGACGACUUGGAGCUGUAUGACUCGACCAUAGACAACUUACACCUGUUGUUUCAAUCAUAAUUACUUGUGUUGUAAGUUAGCACAACUUCAAUAAUAAAUGGUUAAAACUUGACAACAGUGUGAGUGCCUUUGUUAGUACUUCUUUGCGAAGGGGGAAAACAUCGGCUGUGUUAUGUUUGCAGAGUAUAGAACUGUUAGUUACGCUCUCUCACCUUCUCUAAUUAGACGACUGUUGUAGAGUGUCUCUAUAGGUUUUUUAGUGCUAGCGCGCUGCCGCUUAACUCCACCAUAUUGCCUAUGACGUUCCUCUUGCGUCCUCUAAGUCCCCUGCGUGCCUCAAGUACAAAGGACGACUGGUUGACGAAUGCUUAUACGUCUUGAAGUCUUGUUAAGUACGAACCCGUACUUAUUGCUGCUUCUACGGGAUAUAACCGGGCAGGUAUGAAGAUAUGUUCGAUGAAGACGACGUUAGCAAGGUUACCCUUCCGGCUUGGCCUGGGCAAGGUUAUGGACGCCACUGGUUAUCUUCAGGACUCUUAGUCCAAUUUGUAUCUUGUCCGUACUCGGACGUAGUCGAUCUUCUGUAUGAUUUGGAUCUUUGUAUUGUAUAUUUGUAUCUUGACUCGUCAGAGUCGUUGUUGUAAUAUAUGUAUCUUGUGGGCUC